rnacentral:tRNA from 2 species
GCUUUGAUAGCACAGUUGGUAGUGCACCUCAUUCGUAAUGAGGGGGUCGCCGGUUCGAGUCCGGCUCAAAGCU